rnacentral:rRNA from 1 species
CCAGCAAUUUGGAAGAAUGUAUAGCAAUAGCUAGUUGCAUAAUAUUGUGCAAUAUUGAUUAUAUCAAAUAAAGUUCUGAGUAAAUCUAGAUGAUGACUUAAUUUACUCACGUGUCUUGACUAAAAUGCGUGCCAGCAGUCGCGGUAAGACGUAUAAGACUAGUGUUAUUCAUCUUUAGCAGGUUUAAAGGGUACUUAGACGGUAAAUCAAGCCAUAGUAGGGACUAGUUUACUAGAGUUACUUAUAAAGGGGCUUUAAAGUACUAAUGGAGUAGAGAUAAAAUGCUAGUAUACCUUUUUUUGUAAAAAAAACAAUGGCACUGAUAAAGGCGAAGGCAUCCCCUUAUGUGAUAACUGACGUUAAAGGACGAAGGCUUUGUGUUACGAACAGGAUUAGAUACCCUAGUAGUCGAAGCAGAGAAUGAUGAGUGUCAUAGAUUGGAAUAAGUUUAAUCUAUAAAUGAAAGUGUAAGCACUCCACCUUAAGAGUAAUGUGGCAACACCGAAAUUGAAAUCAUUAGACCGUUUCUGACNNNNNNNNNNNNNNNNNNNNNNUAAUUUGAUGAUCCGCAAAAAACCUUACCACAACUUGGAUAUUUAUAUUUUAAUAUAUUUACAAGCGUUGCACGGCUGUCUUAAGUUAAUGUCGUGAGAAUUUGGUUAGCUCCUUUAAAUUGACGUAAACCCUCGUUUUAUUUUUAUAUAGAACGGUUCACCGUUAUAUUGGAUAUGAUAAAAGGGAAGAAGACAAGUC